rnacentral:rRNA from 1 species
AUUGAACGCUGGCGGCAUGCCUAACACAUGCAAGUCGAACGGGGCAGCAAUGCCUAGUGGCGGACGGGUGAGGAAUACGUAGGAAUCUGCCCUUAAGUGGGGGAUAACCAGGGGAAACCCUGACUAAUACCGCAUGAUCUCUUCGGAGCAAAGAGGGGGACCGCAAGGCCUCUCGCUUCUGGAUGAGCCCACGUCUGAUUAGCUAGUUGGUGGGGUAAAGGCUCACCAAGCCAACGAUCUGUAGCUGGUCUGAGAGGACGACCAGCCACACUGGGACUGAGACACGGCCCAGACUCCUACGGGAGGCAGCAGUGGGGAAUUUUGGACAAUGGGCGCAAGCCUGAUCCAGCAAUGCCGCGUGCAGGAAGAAGGCCUUCGGGUUGUAAACUGCUUUUGUACAGAACGAAACGGCUCUCUCUAAUACAGGGGGCUAAUGACGGUACCGUAAGAAUAAGCACCGGCUAACUACGUGCCAGCCGCCGCAGUAACAC